rnacentral:rRNA from 1 species
AUACGGAGGGUCCGAGCGUUAAUCGGAAUUACUGGGCGUAAAGCGUACGUAGGCGGCAAGUUAAGUUAGAUGUGAAAGCCCCGGGCUCAACCUGGGAACUGCAUUUAAAACUGGCUUGCUAGAGUUGAGUAGAGGGGAGUGGAAUUUCAGGUGUAGCGGUGAAAUGCGUAGAGAUCUGAAGGAACACCAGUGGCGAAGGCGACUCCCUGGACUCGAACUGACGCUGAGGUACGAAAGCGUGGGUAGCAAACGGGAUUAGAAACCCCUAGUAGUCC